GUUUGGCAACAGCGCGAGUGUGAGAGGGAGAUGCCGGUGUGCUUCGCGGUAUACCGGAUCUUUUUUCUGUCGUUUUCUUGAAGAUCACUCCGCGACACACACGAUGCUGCGCUGUCGUUCAGCAGCAGAUGAUGCGCUGUCUGCGGCUGACUUGUCAUUCCCACUCGCAAUCACCGCUGUCAUCAAAUGGACUUAACGCUAGCAACAACUUCUGACUGAACUCAAUUAUCAUGAAACCCAUAUACAGCGAUGAGUUUCUUUCUCUUUCAUACGAACUUAUAACGAGGAGCGACCACAAUGUGUUUUGUGUGUGGAAGUGCUUAGUAAUGAGUCUCUCCAAACGAACGAAUUAAUAAAACGACGUGUCCUGACCAAACAUUCACAGCAUGAUGGUAAACCCAGGGAGUUCUUUGAGAACAGGGCAGAAUGCUUCAGGAAACAGUGCUUCGACAGUGGAAAAGCUCCCCCGCAUUGCGCACUUCCGCCAUCAUCAUUACGCACGCCAGCCUUCCCCCCGUCACGCUCAUCAGCGAUUACUGGACUCACCUGGACACAAUCACCUCUGUCAUUACCUUCCAUCUGUCUGGUUCCCCGCUCUGUUCCCUGCUUCAGCAUUAAUUGUCGUUUGUCGUUGUUUACCAGUGUGCUGACGCUGUUCCUGUUCUGUUACCUGUCUGUUCCUGAAUAAAUGUUGACUCCAUA